GAAAAAACUAUUUCAAAGCGACGCAGCCGAAAAAGAAGCUUUCUGCGCUCGCUUGCUCACUCACUUACCCAAUCGAAGCAGAUGCCAGUUCCCUCCAUGUUUUCGCUACACUCUCUUCUCCUCCUACUGAUCUCUAUGAUGUUAAGUUUGGUUACAGCUUUAAGUGAUGGAGGGUUCUGCUCCGCACCUUCAUUAUUUGAUGCGGAAAAGGAUUCCAAACCUCGCUACUGGAAAGUUACAAAUCCCACUCUUUCCCCUUCUCAUCUUCAAGACUUACCAGGUUUCACACGCAGUGUUUAUAAAAGAGACCAUGCUUUAAUAACACCUGAAAGUCAUGUAUUCAGUCCUUUACCUGGGUGGACAAAUACAUUAGGAGCAUAUCUAAUCACGCCGGCUAUGGGCUCGCACUUUGUGAUGUACUUAGCAAAGAUGCAAGGUUUGUUCAUAUUUGAGCUGUCAAAAGUUUUAUUUAUGCUUUUUAUUGUCAUUCUUCAUGGAUUCCAGAUUCUAAUAUGGUUUAUGAAUCCAAUGAUUCAUGUGCUGCACUUUAAUAAGAUAAAACAAUAUAGUAAGUUGAGGCUGUCACCUGGCUCUCCAAUCACAUAUUAGCACUCAUCAUGCAUUAAUCAGUGCAUAGGGUUGUCAAAACUUGCUUUUUUAAUCUAGAAUUGGUAAUUUGGUGAAAUAUCUGUGGUGGUGGUCAACUUUGGCUGGAAUCUGAAUCUCUUUCUAAAUUUUCUUUCGUCUUUCUUCCUCUGUGGUCAGUAGGGCAGAGCUGCAAUCCUGUAAUAGUGAUGUUUAUGUGACUAGGCUAAAUAUUUUCCUCUUGGAGAUGGCACAGGGAUACAUAUUAGGAAAUAUUUAUAUUCUAACAUUUAGAGAGAAUAAAUCUCUGGAUAACUUUUGGUGUGAUAACUCAUUCCUUCAUGUUCUUUAAUUUAAGUGAAGCAUCUGUGUUUUGUGGCAUUCAUCUGGAAAACAUGGUAUGCCUACCUACUAAAUUUGUUUAUUUGUUAAUUAAUAUAAGCACCACCUUUACAGGAAAAUCAAGAUCAGGGCUCCCUCCUCUUGAUGUAGAGAGGUGUAUUAAUUUUUCUAAGUUUUUAAUUUCAUGAUCAAUUGAAUGAUCCAAGUAUAAUCAUGUCUAAUACUUAUUUUCUUCAUAUACUUAAUAGGUUCAUAUUCGUAGUUCAGGGUUCUGUGACUCUCACGAAUACAUCUAGCACCAGUCACAAACUAAUGGUGAGACUGUCUGGCAUACAUUCAUUAACUGCAUAUGAGCACACACUUGCUACAUUUGUAUUUGUGAAGCUAUAUCUUGUAGCUUUAGUUUUCUAGUUUUUUUGUUGGUGCAGGCCUUAGAAUUUUGAUGUUAUACUGUGGUUGUAUAGGUGGAUUCAUAUGCCUAUUUACCUCCGAAUUUUGAACAUUCUGUGGAAUGUGAUGCAUCUGCUACUCUUGCUGUCUUUGAACGAAGGUAUGCUUCCCUAGACAAUCUAAUUACUGAACUGAUUGUGGGUUCAACAGACGAGCAGCCAAUUCUUGAGACUCCAGGGGAGGUGUUUGAACUUAGGAAGCUUCUUCCCCCAUCAUUGCCUUAUGACUUCAAUAUCCAUAUCAUGGAUUUUCAACCCGGUGAAUUCCUUAAUGUGAAAGAAGUCCAUUAUAAUCAGCAUGGUUUACUGCUAUUAGAGGGAAAUGGUAUUUAUCGUCUGGGUGAUAGCUGGUAUCCAGUCCAAUCUGGUGAUGUCAUUUGGAUGGCCCCAUUUGUGCCUCAGUGGUAUGCUGCUCUCGGUAAAACCCGGUCACGGUAUUUGCUGUACAAAGAUGUAAACAGGAAUCCAUUGUAAUGACAUGCAGCAAAAAAUUUGCCCUUGGGCUUCAUUUCUGGCAAGGAGAGGUCAAUUUAUGGAGCAAUAAACAUGCUGCAAAAGCCUAUAAACGUUACAAUGGAUGGGUGACAGUCAUCCUUGUGUAAUCUGCUCAUGGUACCAGAAAACUGAGUUUGCAAAACUUAUUUGGUAAAUAAAUUGACAUUCUGUCCUCAUGUAAAAUAAAAGAUUCUUGAGCAUUGGUGGGAUAUUUUCUGUUGAUCAUAAAACUGAAAAGAUUAUAAUUUAGUUAACUACAUUUUAGUUUACCUUGCUUAUGAUUCUAUCAGAAACUCCUUGUGGCAAGUCAUCUGGCAUCUGCAUUUUAUUGUAAUUUUGAGAUAGUGAAAUGCCUUGCAAAAUUUGAAAUUUC
rnacentral:misc_RNA from 1 species